AUUGAACGCUGGCGGCAGGCCUAACACAUGCAAGUCGAACGAGUGGCGGACGGGUGAGUAAUGUGUGGGAACCUGCCUGAUGGAGGGGGUUAACUACUGGAACCGGUAGCUAAUACCGCAUACCAUCGGAUGUGCCCAGAUGGUAUUAGCUAGUGGGUGGGGUAAAGGCUCACCUAGGCGACGAUGCCUAGCUGGUCUGAGAGGAUGAUCAGCCACACUGGAACUGAGACACGGUCCAGACUCCUACGGGAGGCAGCAGUGGGGAAUAUUGCACAAUGGGCGAAAGCCUGAUUGAGCCAUGCCGCGUGUAUGAAGAAGGCCUUCGGGUUGUAAAGUACUUUCAGCAGGGAGGCGGUACCCGCAGAAGAAGCACCGGCUAACUCCGUGCCAGCAGCCGCGGUAAUAC
rnacentral:rRNA from 1 species